GAUGAACGCUGGCGGCGUGCCUAAUACAUGCAAGUCGAGCGAACGGACGAGAAGCUUGCUUCUCUGAUGUUAGCGGCGGACGGGUGAGUAACACGUGGAUAACCUACCUAUAAGACUGGGAUAACUUCGGGAAACCGGAGCUAAUACCGGAUAAUAUUUUGAACCGCAUGGUUCAAAAGUGAAAGACGGUCUUGCUGUCACUUAUAGAUGGAUCCGCGCUGCAUUAGCUAGUUGGUAAGGUAACGGCUUACCAAGGCAACGAUGCAUAGCCGACCAGAGAGGGUGAUCGGCCACACUGGAACUGAGACACGGUCCAGACUCCUACGGGAGGCAGCAGUAGGGAAUCUUCCGCAAUGGGCGAAAGCCUGACGGAGCAACGCCGCGUGAGUGAUGAAGGUCUUCGGAUCGUAAAACUCUGUUAUUGGGGAAGAACAUAUGUGUAAGUAACUGUGCACAUCUUGACGGUACCUAAUCAGAAAGCCACGGCUAACUACGUG
rnacentral:rRNA from 1 species